UGUGAGCUCGAUGAGUAGGGCGGGACACGUGGUAUCCUGUCUGAAUAUGGGGGGACCAUCCUCCAAGGCUAAAUACUCCUGACUGACCGAUAGUGAACCAGUACCGUGAGGGAAAGGCGAAAAGAACCCCGGCGAGGGGAGUGAAAAAGAACCUGAAACCGUGUACGUACAAGCAGUGGGAGCCUCUUUUAUGGGGUGACUGCGUACCUUUUGUAUAAUGGGUCAGCGACUUAUAUUCUGUAGCAAGGUUAACCGAAUAGGGGAGCCGAAGGGAAACCGAGUCUUAACUGGGCGUUAAGUUGCAGGGUAUAGACCCGAAACCCGGUGAUCUAGCCAUGGGCAGGUUGAAGGUUGGGUAACACUAACUGGAGGACCGAACCGACUAAUGUUGAAAAAUUAGCGGAUGACUUGUGGCUGGGGGUGAAAGGCCAAUCAAACCGGGAGAUAGCUGGUUCUCCCCGAAAGCUAUUUAGGUAGCGCCUCGUGAAUUCAUCUCCGGGGGUAGAGCACUGUUUCGGCAAGGGGGUCAUCCCGACUUACCAACCCGAUGCAAACUGCGAAUACCGGAGAAUGUUAUCACGGGAGACACACGGCGGGUGCUAACGUCCGUCGUGAAGAGGGAAACAACCCAGACCGCCAGCUAAGGUCCCAAAGUCAUGGUUAAGUGGGAAACGAUGUGGGAAGGCCCAGACAGCCAGGAUGUUGGCUUAGAAGCAGCCAUCAUUUAAAGAAAGCGUAAUAGCUCACUGGUCGAGUCGGCCUGCGCGGAAGAUGUAACGGGGCUAAACCAUGCACCGAAGCUGCGGCAGCGACGCUGAUGCGUUGUUGGGUAGGGGAGCGUUCUGUAAGCCUGUGAAGGUGUGCUGUGAGGCAUGCUGGAGGUAUCAGAAGUGCGAAUGCUGACAUAAGUAACGAUAAAGCGGGUGAAAAGCCCGCUCGCCGGAAGACCAAGGGUUCCUGUCCAACGUUAAUCGGGGCAGGGUGAGUCGACCCCUAAGGCGAGGCCGAAAGGCGUAGUCGAUGGGAAACAGGUUAAUAUUCCUGUACUUGGUGUUACUGCGAAGGGGGGACGGAGAAGGCUAUGUUGGCCGGGCGACGGUUGUCCCGGUUUAAGCGUGUAGGCUGGUUUUCCAGGCAAAUCCGGAAAAUCAAGGCUGAGGCGUGAUGACGAGGCACUACGGUGCUGAAGCAACAAAUGCCCUGCUUCCAGGAAAAGCCUCUAAGCAUCAGGUAACAUCAAAUCGUACCCCAAACCGACACAGGUGGUCAGGUAGAGAAUACCAAGGCGCUUGAGAGAACUCGGGUGAAGGAACUAGGCAAAAUGGUGCCGUAACUUCGGGAGAAGGCACGCUGAUAUGUAGGUGAAGUCCCUCGCGGAUGGAGCUGAAAUCAGUCGAAGAUACCAGCUGGCUGCAACUGUUUAUUAAAAACACAGCACUGUGCAAACACGAAAGUGGACGUAUACGGUGUGACGCCUGCCCGGUGCCGGAAGGUUAAUUGAUGGGGUCAGCGCAAGCGAAGCUCUUGAUCGAAGCCCCGGUAAACGGCGGCCGUAACUAUAACGGUCCUAAGGUAGCGAAAUUCCUUGUCGGGUAAGUUCCGACCUGCACGAAUGGCGUAAUGAUGGCCAGGCUGUCUCCACCCGAGACUCAGUGAAAUUGAACUCGCUGUGAAGAUGCAGUGUACCCGCGGCAAGACGGAAAGACCCCGUGAACCUUUACUAUAGCUUGACACUGAACAUUGAGCCUUGAUGUGUAGGAUAGGUGGGAGGCUUUGAAGUGUGGACGCCAGUCUGCAUGGAGCCGACCUUGAAAUACCACCCUUUAAUGUUUGAUGUUCUAACGU
rnacentral:rRNA from 1 species